rnacentral:rRNA from 1 species
UACGUAGGCAGCGAGCGUUGUUCGGAGUUACUGGGCGUAAAGGGUGUGUAGGCGGUUGUUUAAGUUUGGUGUGAAAUCUCCCGGCUCAACUGGGAGGGUGCGCCGAAUACUGAAUGACUUGGAGUGCGGGAGAGGAAAGUGGAAUUCCUGGUGUAGCGGUGAAAUGCGUAGAUAUCUGGAGGAACACCGGUGGCGAAGGCGGCGUCCUGGAUCAACACUGACACUGAGGAGCGAAAGCCAGGGGAGCAAACAGG